GUGCUUGCUUUGGCAGCACGUAUACUAAAAUUGGAAUGAUACAGAGAAGAUUAGCGUGGCCCCUGUGCCAGGUUGACAAAAACAAAAAACUUAUGUCUAAUGAACUA
rnacentral:snRNA from 1 species